CCUACGGGCGGCACCAGUGGGGAAUAUUGCACAAUGGGCGCAAGCCUGAUGCAGCCAUGCCGCGUGUAUGAAGAAGGCCUUCGGGUUGUAAAGUACUUUCAGCGGGGAGGAAGGUGUUGAGGUUAAUAACCUCAGCAAUUGACGUUACCCGCAGAAGAAGCACCGGCUAACUCCGUGCCAGCAGCCGCGGUAAUACGGAGGGUGCAAGCGUUAAUCGGAAUUACUGGGCGUAAAGCGCACGCAGGCGGUCUGUCAAGUCGGAUGUGAAAUCCCCGGGCUCAACCUGGGAACUGCACUCGAAACUGGCAGGCUGGAGUCUUGUAGAGGGGGGUAGAAUUCCAGGUGUAGCGGUGAAAUGCAUAGAGAUCUGGAGGAAUACCGGUGGCGAAGGCGGCCCCUUGGACAAAGACUGACGCUCAGGUGCGAAAGCGUGGGGAGCGAACAGGAUUAGAUACCCCAGUAGUC
rnacentral:rRNA from 1 species